CCAGACUCCUACGGGAGGCAGCAGUGAGGAAUAUUGGUCAAUGGGCGGAAGCCUGAACCAGCCAAGUCGCGUGAGGGAAGAAGGCCCUGCGGGUCGCAGACCUCUUUGGACGGGGAGCAAGGCCGCCGACGUGUCGGCGGAAGGAGAGUACCCGUAGAACAAGCAUCGGCUAACUCCGUGCCAGCAGCCGCGGUAAUACGGAGGAUGCGAGCGUUAUCCGUAUUUAUUGGGUUUAAAGGGUGCGCAGGCGGCGAUUUAAGUCGGCGGUAAAAUUUCGGGCCUCAACCCCGACAAGCCGUUGAAACUGGCUUGCUAGAGUGGGCGAGAAGUAUGCGGAAUGCGCGGUGUAGCGGUGAAAUGCAUAGAUAUCGCGCAGAACUCCGAUUGCGAAGGCAGCAUGCCGGCCCCACACUGACGCUGAGGCACGAAAGCGUGGGUAUCGAACAGGAUUAGAUACCCCUGUA
rnacentral:rRNA from 1 species